rnacentral:rRNA from 1 species
CGCAUCUGUGCAUGCAGCAUAUCAAUAAGCGGAGGAAAAGAAACUAACAAGGAUUCCCCUAGUAACGGCGAGUGAAGCAGGAAGAGCUCAAAUUUGAAAUCUUAAAGGGUUUCCCUUUACGAAUUGUAGUUUAAAGAAGUGUUUUCUGUUGAGGUUUUGGUAAAAGUUCUUUGGAAUAGGACAUCAUAGAGGGUGAGAAUCCCGUAUUUGACCUUUACUUUCAACUUUGUGAUACACUUUCAAAGAGUCGGAUUGUUUGGGAAUGCAGUUCAAAAUGGGUGGUAAAUUUCAUCUAAAGCUAAAUAUUGGCGAGAGACCGAUAGCGAACAAGUACCGUGAGGGAAAGAUGAAAAGAACUUUGAAAAGAGAGUUAAACAGUACGUGAAAUUGUCAAAAGGGAAGCGUUUGACACCAGUGUUGUUUUUCUGAAAAUCAAUUAAAGAACUGUUUAUGCUAAGCUUGUUUAGACUUUAUCAGCUAACUGUUUAGUUUUGAGCUUUUCUUUAAUGCACUUUUCAGUUAACAAGUCAACAUCAAUUUCUUUUGCUGUAAAAAAGCUUGAGGAAGGUGGCUUGAGAUUCGUCUUAAGUGUUUAUAGCCUCUUGCCUAUGCAGUCGGAGAGAUUGAGGUCUGCAGCGUAGAUCCUUCGGGGCUAAAUGCAUUUGUGCUAAGUUAUAACAUUUUAUAGACAACUUGUUGACUAUGAUUUGUCUUGUAGCUUACUCGCUUAUGUUAUUUUACCUACGCUUAGGAUGUUGACAGCAGUAUAGACUGU